AGAGUUUGAUUAUGGCUCAGGAUGAACGCUGGCGGCGUGCUUAACACAUGCAAGUCGAACGGAGAUAGCGGAGAGCUUGCUUCUGCUAUCUUAGUGGCGGACGGGUGAGUAACGCGUGGGUAACCUACCCUGUACAGGGGGAUAGCAGCUGGAAACGGCUGAUAAAACCGCAUAAAACGGCAGUACCGCAUGGUACAACCGUCAAAUAUUCAUAGGUACAGGAUGGGCCCGCGUCUGAUUAGCCAGUUGGUGGGGUAACGGCCUACCAAAGCGACGAUCAGUAGCCGGCCUGAGAGGGUGAACGGCCACAUUGGGACUGAGACACGGCCCAAACUCCUACGGGAGGCAGCAGUGGGGAAUAUUGGACAAUGGGGGAAACCCUGAUCCAGCGACGCCCGCGUGAGUGAAGAAGUAUCUCGGUAUGUAAAGCUCUAUCAGCAGGGAAGAUGAUGACGGUACCUGACUAAGAAGCACCGGCUAAAUACGUGCCAGCCGCCGC
rnacentral:rRNA from 1 species